rnacentral:rRNA from 1 species
UACAGAGGUCUCAAGCGUGUUCGGAUUCAUUGGGCGUAAAGGGUGCGUAGGCGGCGCGGUAAGUCGGGUGUGAAAUCUGGAGCUUAACUCCGAAACUGCAUUCGAUACUGCCGUGCUUGAGGACUGGAGAGGAGACUGGAAUUUACGGUGUAGCGGUGAAAUGCGUAGGAUAUCGUGAAGGAAGACCAAGUGGCGAAGGCGGGUCUCUGGACAGUUCCUGA